CCCUUAGAUGUUCUGGGCUGCACGCGCGCUACACUGAUGCACUCAACGAGUUUACGACCUUGCCCGAUAGGGUUGGGUAAUCUUUUUAAAAUGCAUCGUGAUGGGGAUAGAUUAUUGCAAUUAUUAAUCUUCAACGAGGAAUUCCUAGUAAGCGCGAGUCAUCAGCUCGUGCUGAUUACGUCCCGGCCCUUUGUACACACCGCCCGUCGCUCCUACCGAUUGAGUGCUCAGGUGAAUAAUUCGGACUGCAGCAAUGUUUGGAUCCCGAACGUUGCAGCGGAAAGUUUAGUGAACCUUAUCACUUAGAGGAAGGAGGAGUCGUAACA
rnacentral:rRNA from 1 species